rnacentral:lncRNA from 1 species
AAUUCUUAUGACCGAUUAUUGUCCGGACUUCGCACCCCUUUGGAAAAGAAAUCGCUAUUUAUUUCGCACGCUUUAAGAAUUCUGAGAGGAAUGGGAUGAUCUCAACUAUAGUAAAGUAAAGACAGAUAUCACCGAGUCACCGACUCAGGUGUCCCUUUAUAAUCACGCGCCACCACCACCGCCACCGCCUGUCCACCCAACGAUCCUUCUCCAGCACCCUUAUUUCUCUCUCCCUCUGUAAAAUCGUACUGUAUUGUACAGAUUUCUGCGUAUGUAUGUGUUGUAUAAAUUUAUAUAUAGAUAACAGAACUAAACGAAAAAAGUGAUCGUUUUUGAAUAAAAUAUAGAGCAUCGAGGGGUGGGGAGAUGAGUGCACCGAAGCACAGGCACGACGGGACUUCGCCUUUGCCUUUGGGUAUGGAUUGGAGCCCUCCCCCUCGUAACUGGGUACGUGUUUUGACUAAUUCUUUUCUUGAUUGGUAAUUUUCCAUGAAUUUCUGAUGAAUUUGGGUAUUAUUUGAUUGCCGAUCGAUCUAUCUGGAUUUAUCUGGGCUUCCAAUAAAUUUGGAUUUCUUAUUUUGAUUUUUUUGUUGCUCGACUUUGUGAUAUGUUUAACAUGCGUGUAUUUCAGUUCAAAGAAUGUGGAUCGAUAAUAUUAUACUAUGUGAUCAGCUCUUUAAUCUUCAAAGUUUGCUUGACGAGCGUAAACUCUCGAUUUUCACGCCACUUAUUGACAAUGGAAAAUGAUUUUUGGUCUACAAUAGCAAUUAUGAAUUGCAACUCAAGGUGAAGUAUUUGGUACGAUCCUUUUUCAAGUACAGCGGAAA